rnacentral:rRNA from 1 species
AGUUGUUGUGGUUAAAAGCUCGUAGUUGAAUCUUGGGCCUGGCUGGCCGGUCCGCCCCACCGCGUGUACUGGUCCGGCCGGGUCUUUCACUCUGCGGAACCACAUGCCCUUCAGUGGGUGUGGCGGGGAAGCAGGACUUUUACUUUGAAAAAAUUAGAGUGCUCUAAGCAGGCCAAUGCUCGAAUACAUUAGCAUGGAAUAAUAAAAUAGGACGCGCGGUUCUAUUUUGUUGGUUUCUAGGACCGCCGUAAUGAUGAAUAGGGGCAGUCGGGGGCAUCAGUAUUCAGUUGUCAGAGGUGAAAUUCUUGGAUCUACUGAAGACUAACUACUGCGAAAGCAUUUGCCAAGGAUGUUUUCAUUAAUCAGGAACGAAAGUUAGGGGAUCGAAGACGAUCAGAUACCGUCGUAGUCUUAACCAUAAACUAUGCCGACUAGGGAUCGGACGAUGUUAUUUAGUUGACUCGUUCGGCACC